rnacentral:rRNA from 1 species
ACCUACGGGGGGCAGCAGUGGGGGAUAUUGGACAAUGGGGGGAACCCCGAUCCAGCGACGCCGCGUGAGUGAAGAAGUAUUUCGGUAUGUAAAGCCCUGUCAGCAGGGAAGAAAGAAAUGACGGUACCUGACCAAGAAGCCCCGGCUAACUACGUGCCAGCAGCCGCGGUAAUACGUAGGGGGCAAGCGUUAUCCGGAAUUACUGGGAGUAAAGGGAGCGUAGACGGGUAAGUAAGGCUGGAGUGAAAGGCCGGGGCCCAACCCCGCGACGGCUCUGGAAACUA